UACGAAGGGGGCUAGCGUUGCUCGGAAUCACUGGGCGUAAAGCGCACGUAGGCGGAUUUCUAAGUCGGGGGUGAAAUCCUGGAGCUCAACUCCAGAACUGCCUUCGAUACUGGAAGUCUUGAGUCCGGGAGAGGUGAGUGGAACUGCGAGUGUAGAGGUGAAAUUCGUAGAUAUUCGCAAGAACACCAGUGGCGAAGGCGGCUCACUGGCCCGGAACUGACGCUGAGGUGCGAAAGCGUGGGGAGCAAACAGGG
rnacentral:rRNA from 1 species